GACUGAGGGUGCAAACGUUGUUCGGAAUUACUGGGCGUAAAGCGCGUGUAGGCGGCAAGGCAAGUCGGAUGUGAAAGCCCACGGCUCAACCGUGGAAGUGCACCCGAAACUGCCUAGCUAGAGUCUCGGAGAGGAAGGUGGAAUGCUUGGUGUAGAGGUGAAAUUCGUAGAUAUCAAGCGGAACACCGGUGGCGAAGGCGGCCUUCUGGACGAUGACUGACGCUGAGACGCGAAAGCGUGGGGAGCAAACAGG
rnacentral:rRNA from 1 species